rnacentral:rRNA from 1 species
UACGUAGGGUGCGAGCGUUGUCCGGAAUUAUUGGGCGUAAAGAGCUCGUAGGUGGUCUGUUACGUCUGCUGUGAAAACCUAGGGCUUAACCCUGGGCCUGCAGUGGAUACGGGCAGACUAGAGGUAGGUAGGGGAGAAUGGAAUUCCCGGUGUAGCGGUGAAAUGCGCAGAUAUCGGGAGGAACACCGGUGGCGAAGGCGGUUCUCUGGGCCUUACCUGACACUGAGGAGCGAAAGCGUGGGGAGCGAACAGG